AACUCAACUGUUUGACAAUAGUCAUGCUUUAUAUAUUGUUUUAUAGAACAAUAUUAUCAAUAUAUAAAGCAUGACUAUUGUCAAACAGUUGAGUU